rnacentral:rRNA from 1 species
UACGGGGGGGGGCAAGCGUUGUUCGGAAUUAUUGGGCGUAAAGAGCUCGUAGGCGGUGUGUCGCGUCGGCCGUGAAAACCUGCAGCUUAACUGUGGGCUUGCGGUCGAUACGGGCAUCACUGGAGUUCGGCAGGGGAGACUGGAAUUCCUGGUGUAGCGGUGAAAUGCGCAGAUAUCGGGAAGAACACCCGUGGCGAAGGCGGUUCUCUGGGACGGUACUGACGCUGAGACGCGAAAGCGUGGGGAGCGAACAGG